UCUUGGGCACUUAGGUGGCAGGCUGCAAGCCCACCUUCCCUGCUCCUGACCCCUGAAGACCAGAGCUUCAUUCCCCUGUUCCAGAGAGAAGACCAGGGGCCACUCAGGGCGCCCCCUCACAUCACCCGGUGGAUGUGGAGAUAUGGCUAGGACUCCAAGAAGCCGUGCCUAAGCAGAGGAUUGCUAAAUUUGGAAGUCUGGAGCGGAUCCAGCAGAGCGGUCCUCCACGUGCGUUAUCCUGCGGGAAGAGUCCUGCUCGCUGAGCCUGAGGAGUGCCUUCUUUGUGACAGCCCCGGAUGGAGGCCACUCGGAACUUCGGGAGCUCAGCUAGUUUUAUGGGAGCCAAGAGAUAACUGCGCCCAGGACCUCGUGGACAGGGAGACCUCGGGCGGCCCUGCAGGAAACUUGGUCGUGGCCUUUCAGCUUUAUUGCCCGCCCCCUCCAAGUAGAGACCCGUGCCCCCUCCAGGGCUGUGAGAAGUUAUGUGAGAACUUUUGUACAGAAGCAUCAAGAACAGUGGGUCAGGGCCACCAAAUUCUCCAAAGUGGUGGUCUCCCCUUUCCGCUGAAAAUUUUAUGAACAUCCCCAAAGGCUCUGCAUUAACAAGGUAAACAAAGCAAGUUUAGAUUCCACCUCUAUUUACAGAGCUGAGUGGCAGGCAGAGGGACAUCCCAGACACUUGUCACCGUCUUGGGUGAAACGCGGAAGACAGCAACUAGAUAACCGUGCUUGCGCAGCAGGAUCAGCGUCAAACCGCCGGGUUUCAUUGACCGUCACGCCCACUGAGGGUGAGAAAGCCCCUCCCCCGUGUCCCUCUUUCCUGCCAGGCUUUCAGGAAGAAGGCCUUGCAUAAUGGAUUGGAUUGGCUGGAUUCCAGGGAAAUGUCACAGGGUCUUUCUCCCUCCUGUCUCACGUGGCGGAGGCACAUCUGGGACGGAGCCCCACCUAGAGCAGAGGCCGGUCUAGGGUGGAGGCCCAUUUAGGAUGGAGGCUCAUCUGGAAUGGAGGCCCGCCUGGGCUGGGGUCUGCAGGCAGUACCUGAGUGCACCCCCACCAUCUCAACCUCCUCAGGGGCCUGUCCUGCUGAAGGGCAGACGGUGCAGUGAUUCAGGCUCUGACUCAAGAGUGUGAGAGGCCCUCUGAGACCUGGACUGGGUCUGGGCCCCCCAGGGCAGGUUCUCCAAGCUGUGCAGGGGGGCCCCAGUGCCCCCUCCCGGUCGGGUGGGCCUUCUUUGGCCUCUGGGCGCUGUGGGAUUGCAGCUCCCGGUGCCUCAGCGGUGGGGGAUGGGGAGGUCUCUGGUUCCCGGUCUGCCCUGCCCAUGGCCGGCCGGAUCGCCGCUCCUGUCUGCUCCGCAGUCCAGUCCUGCCGAGCAUCCCCCAGCCUUCCAGGGCGGGUGAGGCGAGCAGGGGCUUCUGAGGGUGCUGGGAUGAAAUCUGUGAGCUGGCUCGAUGGACACCUCCUUGGUGGCACCAGCCGAGACCACGGGCCUCCACGCGUGGUAUCCGGGGGGCCCUCAGGUGAAGGGUCUGUUCAGUGGCUGUGACCUGAAGCCCCUUCCCCUGCCUGUGCCCGGCAGGCUCUCAGAGUUGGGGAGACCCACCGGUUGUCCCUGUGAGGGCUUCGGGGUCAUUUCUCACUCUUUUUAGGCAAAUAAAAUUCACAGCAGCGACAUCGAACCAACAUCAGUUCCUAAACCUUCUCCCGGUGUCAUAUCAGAGCAUCUAGAGUCCGGGACGAAAAAGCAAAACUCCAAGCUAAUUAAUUCAAGGUGCCAAACAGGACUUUUAACUCCCUGUUGAACCGACUUGGAACUUGAAGUGGCCCUGUUGGUGGGAAAUCGGGCCCCCUCCCUCUGGAAUGCCCAUUUCCGCAGCCGUGGGUCUCUAUCCUCCCAUCCUCCUUGGUGAUGAGCCCUGUGUCUGGGGAAGGUCCGACCGUGACCAUGUACCAGGGAGGCCGCUCCGUCUCACUUGCCGAGAGUGUAUCUUUGAGAUUGUCCCCAGGAGUUGGAAUAAGUCACUUCUUCUUGGGAAAGCCAUCCAAACGUUUGCUAAGUGAGUGUUAGAGGCAGUUUUUAAGGGGGCUGGAGGAGAGAACAGAGGCCUGCGGGUGAGCUUGCCUCCACGUCACUCCGAGGUGAGAACAAAUGUGGUUUAUCUCACGCUGACAUGAACAGAGAGAUGAGCUUGAGGGAGGAAGUGACUCAGAGGCCCAGGGCUGGGAACACUCUUGGGAGCCAAGCGUGGGCAUGGCUGACCAGGAGCUGGGGAAGCAUGGGUGCCCUGGGCCUGGGCUCUGCCAGCGCCUUCCAGAAGGGCUUGUUUGCAGAGAUUCACGCCCUCCGAGCUCCGCUUCCCCACAAGACCAUCCCGGAGCAAGUCCACCGGAGAUCCACGCCUCCUGCCUCUGACGUCUCGGAAGCAGUGUUGCAACUUCUGUCUCUUUGGAUGCUUGAAGGGAGGCUUUCCGCUGACCUGAGUGUCCCUGAUCAUAACGUGAUGACUUCUCAGUGGGCUCGGGAUGCCUGCGGGGCCGUGUUCAGGCUGCAGCCUCAGCGGGCCUGUCCCGAGCCUCGUCACUGGUCCCCAGGAUGCCUGCGGGGCCGUGUGCAGGCCGCAGCCUCAGCGGGACUGUCCCGAGCCUCAUCACCGGUCCCCAGGUUGUCCUCGCACCCCCACCUCCUUGCAAGCUGCAUUAUUCAAUGGAUCGCCUUCUUCCCGGGACUUGCAGCAUCCCCGGGGUGUCCUCUGACACAUCAUCCCCUUAACUCCUCUUUUAGACUCUUCCUCAGAGGCACAUUUUUCUUGCUCUGUCCAGAGGCCAAGACCGAGUUUGGCCGCCUCUCCAGCGUCGCGUCUGCUUCAGGGGAGAAUGGUCCCCUUUGAGGGAAGCUCAUGCAACCCUGUGGCCCCAGCCAUAAAAAAGAAGACAGCCCCCCGCCCCCAUCAAUUACCUAUAUGAUCAUAAAAGAUGGUUUUAGUCUUUAAAAAAUUACCUAGUGUGACGGUAGAGACCCCGAGGCUUGGGUCAACAUCAGCAGUCCUCUCUGAAACAACACAGCAAUUAAUUCCACGAAGCUUCCUGGUUGUCAAUGAUGCCACUUGCCACUGAAGCCAGAAAUCGUGUCCCUCUGAACGGAAGCACCUGUCAGCUGCCCAGGUCUGAAACUACCCUUCCCUCCUCCCACCAAGUUCAAGGCCAUUUCUCGAUGCCAUGUGUCACUCCCCAUGUGGGGCGGCUCCUUGUCAGAACUCUUUCCACACAUUCUCAGGUGUGUGUGCUGGAGAAGGGUGUGCAGCUUGUCUUUGCCCAUGGUGUAGUGGUUUGUUCCUGCACAGCUUUGAGUAAUAUGUGGGUAUCAUCCAUAUGGAUUGCAAAGUCAAGUGGGCCUUAGGAAGCAUUACUACAAGC